rnacentral:rRNA from 1 species
UGAGGAAUAUUGGUCAAUGGGCGAGAGCCUGAACCAGCCAAGUAGCGUGCAGGAUGACGGCCCUAUGGGUUGUAAACUGCUUUUAUGUGGGGAUAAAGUGCGUGACGUGUCAUGCAUUGCAGGUACCACAUGAAUAAGGACCGGCUAAUUCCGUGCCAGCAGCCGCGGUAAUACGGAAGGUCCGGGCGUUAUCCGGAUUUAUUGGGUUUAAAGGGAGCGUAUGCUGUCUAUUAAGCGUGUUGUGAAAUUUACCGGCUCAACCGGUGGCUUGCAGCGCGAACUGGUCGACUAGAGUAUGCAGGAAGUAGGCGGAAUUCAUGGUGUAGCGGUGAAAUGCUUAGAUAUCAUGACGAACUCCGAUUGCGCAGGCAGCUUACUGUAGCAUAACUGACGCUGAUGCUCGAAAGUGCGGGUAUCAAACAGG